rfam:Picea glauca, whole genome shotgun sequence.
UCAAGAUGAUGAAACAGUAAAAUCUGUCAAUCCACUGAAUACUCCAUGUGGCUUUCUAUCUCAACAGGUUCUGAUUGA